UAUGGCCACAACAAGUUGAAAGCAGCGACUCCCGUACGAUCACCGAAGUUAAGCAACGUCGAGCCUGGUCAAUGCCUAGAUGGGUGACCGCUUGGGCAUACUAGGUGCAGUAA